GGAGAAUUGGAAGCAGCUCCAUUUUUUUGGGGCCCCUUACACAGCUCAAGGUCUGGGCCCCAGGGCCUGAUUGAGUAUCCCAUAAGGCCCACUCAUAAGUCCACUUAUAUGUUCCACCACCCAUGGAUGCAUUGUGUGUUUCUCUGUGUGUAAGGGAAGCAUGUUGUGUUUCUGUAUAUGUAUAGGGAGGCAUUGUGUGUGUGUGUGUGUGCGUAGUGUGAAAGAGCUCCC